rnacentral:rRNA from 1 species
GAUGAACGCUGGCGGCGUGCCUAAUACAUGCAAGUCGAACGAAUCUUCUUCGGAAGAUGAGUGGCUAACGGGUGAGUAGUACAUAGGUAACCUGCCCCUGUUCGGCGGAUAACAGGAAGAAACUCCUGCUACUACCGCAUAGCCAUGAGCACCGCAUGGAGCCCAUGCCAACUAUCCUUUAUGUGUUAGCGCAGGGAUGGACCUAUGGCGCAUUAGUGGGUUGGCGGGGCAACGGCGCACCAAGGAAACGAUGCGUAGCCGGCCGGAGAGGGGGGACGGCAACAUUGCGACUGAGACACGGCCCAGACUCCUACGGGAGGCAGCAGUAGGGAAUUUUCGGCAAUGGGGGAAACCCUGACCGAGCAACGCCGCGUGAGCGAAGAAGGCCUUCGGGUCGUAAAGCUCUGUUGUAAAGGAAGAACGGCGCAUACAGGAAAUGGUAUGCGAGUGACGGUACUUUACCAGAAAGCCACGGCUAACUACGUGCCAGCCGCCGCCGUAA